GUGAGCGUAGCUCAGUUGGUUAGAGCGCUGGAUUGUGGAUCCAGAGGUCGGGGGUUCGAUUCCCCUCGUUCACCCCA
rnacentral:tRNA from 1 species